CAGAGGUAUACUCCCGGCCCAUCUGAA
rnacentral:sRNA from 1 species